CAAUAGCGUAUAUUAAAGUUGUUGCAGUUAAAAGGCUCGUAGUUGGAUUUCGGGGUGGCCUGGCUGGUCCGCCGCAAGGUGAGUACUGGUCAGCCGCCCUUCCUCUCGAAAGCCCCGACUGCUCUUUACUGCAGUGGUCGGGUAGUUCGGGACGUUUACUUUGAAAAAAUUAGAGUGUUCAAGGCAGGCUAUCGCCUGAAUACAUUAGCAUGGAAUAAUGGAAGAGGACCUCGGUCCUAUUUUGUUGGUUUCUAGGGCCGAAGUAAUGAUUAAGAGGGACAGUUGGGGGCAUUCGUAUUUAAUUGUCAGAGGUGAAAUUCUUGGAUUUAUGAAAGACGAACUAGUGCGAAAGCAUUUGCCAAGGAUGUUUUCAUUAA
rnacentral:rRNA from 1 species